UAAUGUGGAAACCCCAUGGAGGUUGAAAGGAUGUGCAUACGAUAUUAAAGUAUGUGCUCUCUUUACAGAUAAGAACAGUGGAAGAAAGUGUCUGCAAUUGCCUGUCAAUGAUGCUGAAUUCCAAGGCGCUUAACUUUGCCGCAUUGUCAUAUUAUCUCCUCUAGGCCGAGAGAGCUGCCAACAACAUCCAUCAAGGGUUGUGCUCAUUAGCCAGCACUGAAUUGUGGGUAAUGGCUGAGAGCUGUGGAAAACUUCUGUUGCUGGGAUAGAUGUGUCAUGUUUUUUUCUCCGCUUUCUGAGCAGCACAAGACAUGCAGCAUGCGUCCAUUACUGUAAAAUCCUACUCCUCCAGGACAGAAACUGAGCUGGUGCCAUAUUGCUCUCUGAUGCUCACUCUGUGCUUCAGGAUGGGGAGGAUUCAAAGGAGCAGCCAUCCAGCAAAUGAAAUGCAGAGGGCGGCAGCAUCUCCUCCACCCCAACCCCCCCACCAGCAAAGCCCUAGCAGCCAGGCCCUGGUCCCUCAUCUGACUGCUCUCCCACUGGAUGGCCUCCUUUACCUAGGAUAACCCAACGAGGAGAGGGGCGAUUGUGCAGCCACUGCACUGGAGCUGUGUGACUUCACCAUAUGCUCUCUCCCUUCAGAUCUGAGGUCUGUAGGUGCAGUGUGGCAGGAGCAGAUUCUCUGUCUGUUCCCUGUCCACCAUUGUGAAAUUUGCUCAAUGAUACUUCAGCUCAGAUUGCUAUUUUGAUGAAGUGCCAAGGCAAGGGUGGUGCAGGAGGAAACCAAUUAGCUCACAUAUGUGGAAGGAAUAUUACGGGAUUCUAUCUAAGCAGUACAGGGGAGGAACGAUAAAGUCUUCCUGAUUACCAUUUCAAACAACCCGCUCAUGGUAAUCCUCUGUGUUUGGUUCAUUGCUGUUUAAUAUGUAAAGUGUGUAUUAUGUUAUUGGCAAGGCUCCAAAAAGAUGGAGAUUUCAGUGUAACAAAAAUGGAAAAUGCUUGUAUUCAGGUCAAAUGAGCAAGAUGAAUCUUGAAUGGAAAGACAGCCUUCCUCUUGCUCUCUUAGGGAAAAUAUGUGCCACUGACAUUUCUUAAG